CCUACGGGUGGCAGCAGUGGGGAAUAUUGGACAAUGGGGGGAACCCUGAUCCAGCGACGCCGCGUGAGUGAAGAAGUAUUUCGGUAUGUAAAGCUCUAUCAGCAGGGAAGAAAGAAAUGACGGUACCUGACUAAGAAGCCUCGGCUAACUACGUGCCAGCAGACGCGGUAAUACGUAGGGGGCAAGCGUUAUCCGGAUUUAAUGGGUGUAAAGGGAGCGUAGACGGCGAUGCAAGUCUGAAGUGAAAGGCGGGGGCUCAACCGCCGGACUGCGUUGGAAACUGUAUGGCUGGAGUGCAGGAGAGGUAAGUGGAAUUCCUAGUGUAGCGGUGAAAUGCGUAGAUAUUAGGAGGAACACCAGUGGCGAAGGCAGCUUACUGGACUGUAACUGACGUUGAGGCUCGAAAGUGUGGGGAGCAAACAGGAUUAGAUACCCCUGUAGUC
rnacentral:rRNA from 1 species